GAAGAUGGCUGUGAAACUCAUUAGAAUAACAAUAUAAGUCAUCUAUGUUAGUCAACGUUUAUUCAUAAAUCUGGUCCUUCACCGUCACGUGCGUAUUGUAUUUUUGCCCAACUAACCAAUAGCAAUAUUAAUUAGGAAAGUUACCUAUUUGUGACUCAAACAAUAGGGUAAAUUGGAAAUUACUAUUGGUGGAUUUGGCAAAAUACAAUACACACGUGACGGACCAGAUUUAUAAAUAAACGUUGACUAACGUAGAUAACGAGUCAUAUUGUUAUUCUAAUGAGUUUCACAGCCAUCUUC